CGUAUCCAACCUGCCCACACUUGGGGAUAACCUUGCGAAAGUAAGACUAAUACCCAAUGAUAUCCCACGAAGGCAUCCGAAUGGGAUUAAAGAUUUAUCGGUGAUGGAUGGGGAUGCGUCUGAUUAGCUUGUUGGCGGGGUAACGGCCCACCAAGGCUACGAUCAGUAGGGGUUCUAGAGAGGAAGGUCCCCCACAUUGGAACUGAGACACGGACCAAACUCCUACGGGAGGCAGCAGUGAGGAAUAUUGGUCAAUGGGCGAGAGCCUGAACCAGCCAAGUAGCGUGCAGGAUGACGGCCCUAUGGGUUGUAAACUGCUUUUAUGCGGGGAUAAAGCGGGCGACGUGUCGCCCCUUGCAGGUACCGCAUGAAUAAGGACCGGCUAAUUCCGUG
rnacentral:rRNA from 1 species